AGGUUACCAUGAUGAGGACACCUUCUCAAAAGAUCAUUAAAUCUCUCCCAUGCAUCAUACGAUGUCUCAAGCUCAAAUUGAGCAAAAAAAGAUAUGUCAUUCCUCAACUU
rfam:Gossypium hirsutum cultivar TM-1 chromosome 9, whole genome shotgun sequence